AAAAAAAAAUGUAAAUUAAGUGUAAAUAUAAAUAUAUAUAUUUAUAUAUUAAAUAGUUUUAUUAAAUUAAUUAAAGAAAAGAAAGAAAAGAAAGGACAAAAAGAAGAAAAGGAGAAGAAAAUUUCAUUUUCUCUUUUCUUCUUCUUCUUCUCUUCCCUUCACCGCCAAGUUUGAAGACAUCCAAGUUCCCUUUAUUUUUUUGUUCUUUUUCCUUCUUCAAUUUGCAGAGAACUUCUAAGAGAGAGUUUGGAAGAAGAAGAGAAAUUUUACUAGAAUUUUUAGGUUGAAGAAGAGGAGGAGAACUCAAGCAAAGUGUAUCAAUGGCUGAAUUUUAGUUCAUUCUGCACAUCACUGGUUUUUAAUUCGGUUUGAACUCUUCAAAAGGAAUUAAGAGGGCAGUUGGUUUUCACUCGAAAUCAGGAGGUCUCUGGUAUUUCUUGUAUUUCAGAGUGUAUCGGUGGAGUUAGAAUUUCUAUUUAGAACAAGUUAAAGAGGUCGUGUGCGCGCGAUUCUGGAAGUGGUUCUGUUUUGAGGGUUAUAUGAGUUUAUGCACGGGGAAUCAGAUUUAUAUGUCUUCAGGCCGAGAAGAAUUAAACCGAGCUUAUAGACCAAGGAUCUAGCCCAAGACUGUAGAGAUCGACUUCCCGGUGCCUGAUAGACUGCCUUAGUCUGCGGAAGCUUCAUUAUCGAUUGCCAGUACGUGUUUUGAGUUGGGCAUAAAGUCUGUUGUGUUGUGAUGUAUUCACACCCUUGUAUGUUAUAGAUACUCCACAGUUUGUAUAAGCUUUAGGAGCUGUAGUUGUGUAAAUUUUGUUGGUUAUAUUUUGAUUAAGGUGUCUUUAGGUUUACUCGUGAAAUUGGUAAAUUUUGAGGUACACUUCAUGUAUGUGUUUGACUAGCUGUGUUUGACUAGCCUAGGAUCCGAUGUGUUUUGUGGCAUGUACAAUAGUUUAUAUACUAGAUUGGCAAGUUCAUCACAUGAAAGUUUUAAGCAGAGUCGACAGAUA